GCAUCUAUGGUGAUAUUGGCUAGCACAUCUGGUUUCCACCCAGAAGGAUUCGGUUCGAGCUCCGAAUAGAUGCU
rnacentral:tRNA from 1 species